rnacentral:rRNA from 1 species
UACUAGAGUAGCACUCGCAUAUCAAUAAGCGGAGGAAAAGUACUACCUACGCUUAGGAUGUUGACGAGACUGUCGAUCUCAUCUAUACAUGACUCUGUGCAUAUCAAUAAGCGGAGGAAAAGAAACUAACAAGGAUUCCCCUAGUAACGGCGAGUGAAGCGGGAAGAGCUCAAAUUUGAAAUCUUAAAGGGUUUCCCUUUACGAAUUGUAGUUUAAAGAAGUGUUUUCUGUUGAGGUUUUGGUAGAAGUUCUUUGGAAUAGGACAUCAUAGAGGGUGAGAAUCCCGUAUUUGACCUUUACUUUCAACUUUGUGAUACACUUUCAAAGAGUCGGAUUGUUUGGGAAUGCAGUCCAAAAUGGGUGGUAAAUUUCAUCUAAAGCUAAAUAUUGGCGAGAGACCGAUAGCGAACAAGUACCGUGAGGGAAAGAUGAAAAGAACUUUGAAAAGAGAGUUAAACAGUACGUGAAAUUGUCAAAAGGGAAGCGUUUGACACCAGUGUUGUUUUUCUGAAAAUCAAUUAAAGAACUGUUUAUGCUAAGCUGUUUAGACUUUAUCAGCUAUCUGUUUAGUUUUGAGCUUUUCUUUAAUGCACUUUUCAGUUAACAAGUCAACAUCAAUUUCUUUUGCUGUAAAAAAGCUUGAGGAAGGUGGCUUGAGAUUCGUCUUAAGUGUUUAUAGCCUCUUGCCUAUGCAGUCGGAGAGAUUGAGGUCUGCAGCGUAGAUCCUUCGGGGCUAAAUGCAUUUGUGCUAAGUUAUAGCAUUUCAUAGACAACUUGUUGACUAUGAUUUGUCUUGUAGCUUACUCGCUUAUGUUAUUUUACCUACGCUUAGGAUGUUGAGUCAUCACACAUCUCU